UUAGCAUCUGUUUAUGUGCCUGCAUAGUCUCUUUCCCCCCUUUUUAUAUUUUAAAAUGUUCAUUUGAUGUGUAAAAUGUUUUCUUGACAACAAUUUGUCCUAUGAGUGAGUUAGGAAUCUCUGCAUAAUCGUUUUAGCUCUGGAAAACCAGCAAAUU